rnacentral:rRNA from 1 species
GAUGAACGCUAGCGGCAGGCCUAACACAUGCAAGUCGAGGGAAAAGCCUUUCGGGGCAGAAACCGGCGCACGGGUGCGUAACGCGUAUUCAACCUACCUUUCACAGGCGGAUAGCCCGAAGAAAUUUGGAUUAAUACCCCAUAAUAUUGUUGGAUGGCAUCAUCUGAUAAUUAAAACUGCGGUGGUGAAAGAUGGGCAUGCGUCAUAUUAGCUAGUUGGAGUGGUAACGACACCCCAAGGCUACGAUAGGUAGGGGUCCUGAGAAGGAGACCCACCACACUGGUAAUGAGGCACAGACCAGAAUGCGACGGGAGGCAGCAGUGAGGAAUAUUGGUGAAUAGACGGAAGACUGAACAAGCCAUGCCGGGUACAGGAAGAAUGGCUUAUGAGUUGUAAACUGCUUUGGUAUGAGAAGAAUAAGGUGUACGUGUACAUUGAUGACGGUACCAUAUGAGUAAGCAUCGGCUAACUACGUG